CGCGUAGGCGGCCGGAAAAGUCGGAUGUGAAAGCCCGGGGCUCAACCUCGGAACGGCAUUCGAAACUCUUCGGCUGGAGAACGGAAGAGGAGAGUGGAAUACCCAGUGUAGAGGUGAAAUUCGUAGAUAUUGGGUGGAACACCGGUGGCGAAAGCGGCUCUCUGGUCCGGAUCUGACGCUGAGGCGCGAAAGCGUGGGGAGCAAACA
rnacentral:rRNA from 1 species